rnacentral:tRNA from 1 species
GCGCCCGUAGCUCAAUGGAUAGAGCGCUUGGCUUCGAACCAAGAGGUUGCGGGUUCAACUCCUGCCGGGCGUA